UGGGCGCUCGUCGUGUGCGCGCAGCUCGACUGCAGCUUCCCGCUUACAGACCUGCUCCGUGCACGUGAGCUCGCCGGGGCUCGUGGGUGCGACACCGCGGCGCUCGUGUAGCCGUGUCUUAGAAUAGCUCGACCGUCAUUAUAAAAGAGCCCCAGAGUUUACACAUCCCCCCCUGCAUCCUGAUUAUUACUGAUGGUCCUUCUGAGUCCUUAUAGAAGGAAAGGCCCCAAUGGUUCUGCAGAUGACAAGGAACUUUCCUGAGACACGCUUAUUCAUUUAACUCACAUUCUCAAGUGAUUAGAAGAAGAGUUUCUACAAUGUUCUACAGAUAUUUGAUAAUAUUAAUAAAAAGUAUAACAAUUGUUUGUCAUAAAAAUGACUGUUUGUAGAGCUGUGCCCUAAAGACGUGACCCUGCAGUCGGCUCCGUUUUUGAACCAUAAAGAAAUAGUUAAAAGCGGAGAGGCUGGAAAAUCGUCUUUCUCCAAUUGGUGUCUGGGUCCCAAUCCAGUCCAAGCCUGGAUCCUGGAUCCAGCCUGGGUCUCCUAUAGAACCAGUUACCCUCCUCCAAUCAUCCUCACCUGUUUCAGUCCACCUGCGCUGCACUUCCUGUUUAAGCAGCACCUGGAGGAAAUGUGCUUAGAGAACUCACAAAUCCACAGACGCAAAGCGGAGACAAGGAACUGAACCCACAACCCUUGGACAUGCCCGAGCAGAAUCCAUCGAUACAUCAGAAUAUUGCUUUUCUGCCUUCACUUGUUUGUUAUGUAAAUUGCCGUUUGUUCCUUUGUCCUACUGUGAUGUCACAUGCACGCUGCUGCCAAGCUUAAAAGCUACAGUCAUUCCAGUCGGUGGUCUUUGACGGGUAUUCUGUAACACUAGUCGUACCACGGAGUGAAAGGGGAAUCCGGAAGGCAUCGUGACUCGUGUUUCAUCCCUUCGGAGAGUCCGGUUAAAUGAACCGUGUCUGUGUAAGAGUGUCGGAUGGUGAGUGCGGGGAGGGGACGCAGGUGGCCAUGGGAAUGGGGAGUCUUUGUCGUUUCUACAGUUAAAGCCUGUUCCCUGUUUGCCCAGCUGGCUUUGGCCAAGGUGUGACUUGGUUAUGUGUGUGUUAAUAGGUAACAUGCAUCCAUACACGAGUGUGUGUGUUUCUGACCCUCAUCACAGAGUUGCAGCCUUGCCCCGUGAUUAAGUUGGGGGUGGCGUCGCGGAUUGUACUUCUUUGUCAUCGGAAGGUUGCCAGUUUGAGUCCCGCCCUCGACAGAAUAGUGGCAUUUCUGUUGGGCCCCUGAGCAUGGCCCUAACCCUCCUGAAAUGCUCCUGGGAUGCCAGACAAAUGGCCCGCCUCUGUGCUUGGACCCUAAGCUUCACUCUCAGUGUGUGUGUGUGUGUGUGUGUGUGUGUGUCAAAGGAGAACAAGAUGGGAUAUGCAAAAAGAAGCAUUCCAGUGUAUCUGUACUUGAGCAAAUAAAGCAUCAUUUCACCAUGUUAUUCACUAGGAAUGCUUACCUUAAAGGCACAUCUUGCCAAUCAGCUCAGCUUUGCUGCUGAUUAUUGGUGAGUGCCUUUCCGCCUCCUCUCCGCGGAAUCUGUAGCAGUAUGGGAGUUACUACCGCUAACUGUCCAGGGCAAUAAUUUCUGCCACUGUUAGUCUGACGCCUGGGUAUCUGAUUGCGGCCAUAAGCGGGAGGGUACCAGCUCUCGCGUGAAAUGCACACCUUUCCCCGCCCCCUCCCAUCACUCGGACCGACACGCUGGCUGUGUGCGUCUCUCCGUUUACUGUCCCAGGGCACGGAUCUCCUUUUCGGCUGUGGCUGUCACUCGCUUUUGCUGCAAACACCGCAGACAUUAACUGACAGCCUAUACCCAACAGAGGAAAUGGAAUAGAGCAGCAAUUUUAAAAGGUUAAUUAAAAUUGGUGUACCAUAUUGACGCCAUGCAAGUUAAAAGGUGAAAGUUAAGAAAAGCAGAAGGAAAUUAUAAUGAAAACGGUCCCUCAACUGAAUUCCCUUAAUCACUGAACGUUCCUUUUCUAUUAAUUGAAGAUAAUUAUAGGGCUUUAAUUUUCUAAUGUAGGUUGCAUGAAAAAAAAUCAUUACCAAUGCCUUGGGUUAUGGAGUGAUGCAAAUUAAGACUUAGAUAUGAGUUUAUAUCUUAGUCAAACUGGUUGGAUGAGGAGCAGGCAUUCAGGGUGGUUGAAGAUCCAAUGUAACAUUCUGCCUGCUGGAAAAUAAAACAGAAUAAGCCAUUCUGCAACUGAAUAACGAUUAUAGCCUAAAAUUGUGUCCGUUUUACAAAUUGAAUGGCGCCAGCAAAAUACAUUUGUUGUCAUUUAUUUAUUUAUUUAUUUUCUCCAAGAUUAAUUACUUGUUAAUUGUCUGAACAUGCUGUUGGUAUUCAUGCUCCAUUAGCCAUUAACUUCUGAAUUGACUUGCUGGAGGUGGCCAGUAGGGGUCAGUAGCAUAGGCCGAACACCUCAUUUACCAGAGAACUGACAACAGUGGACAGAGCGCCUAACUAUGUUGACAGAGGAUAUGGAAAAGUACGAGACCAUAAGGCUAACAAGGCAAAACAUUAAUUUUUCUGUUACAAGCACCCAAGAAAACGCCCUAAUAACACCUUAUUUGAUUUUCACCUGUCUCUCAUAGCUCAUGCUUGCUAACAAUGGAAACGGAUGGUUGUUUUACUUUAUCUUGGGCUGGACUUGUGCCGUAAUUUCUUUUCGGACACUUGCAUGUUUACCGAACCCUUUGUAUUCUGUUUAACAUGAUUAUUUCUGUGCCCCCCCCCCCCUCCUUGUAGUUCACUGAAAUUUUAUUUAGAUUUUCCUUUUUAACAAUCUCUUUUCAUCCAUGUCUAUAACUGUGGGCAUAUUGAAUUAGUUCUGCCUUGUGGAUAAUUUUGUACGACA